rfam:Schistosoma margrebowiei strain Zambia genome assembly, scaffold: SMRZ_contig0002323
AUCUAGUCGACGAGUCCCAAAUAGGACGAAAUGUGUGUCUUAUAU